CUACGUGCCAGCAGCCGCGGUAAUACGUAGGGCGCGAGCGUUGUCCGGAAUUAUUGGGCGUAAAGAGCUUGUAGGCGGUUUGUCGCGUCUGCUGUGAAAGGCCGGGGCUUAACCCCGUGUAUUGCAGUGGGUACGGGCAGACUAGAGUGCAGUAGGGGAGACUGGAAUUCCUGGUGUAGCGGUGGAAUGCGCAGAUAUCAGGAAGAACACCGAUGGCGAAGGCAGGUCUCCGGGCUGUAACUGACGCUGAGAAGCGAAAGCAUGGGGAGCGAACAGGAUUAGAUACCCUGGUAGUCCAUGCCGUAAACGUUGGGCACUAGGUGUGGGGGACAUUCCACGUUUUCCGCGCCGUAGCUAACGCAUUAAGUGCCCCGCCUGGGGAGUACGGCCGCAAGGCUAAAACUCAAAGAAAUUGACGGGGGCCCGCACAAGCGGCGGAGCAUGCGGAUUAAUUCGAUGCAACGCGAAGAACCUUACCAAGGCUU
rnacentral:rRNA from 1 species